GGUGCCCCCUCGACCCCACUCACUCAGACCCCCGUAUCGGGGAUGUUGGUAUCGUGGGACUUUUACUCCUCCCCGCCGCCUUCAGCUCCCUGCCCUUACCACUUGGGCUUUGGGAGUCGCAUCUGGCCCCUAAUCCAGCGCUUAUGCAGAAGGGUUCCCAUUUCUGUCAGUCAACGGGAUGUGAUAUGGACAGUGUUAAAGACACAGAAGCCAGCAAGUGCUUGGUAGUGAGGCUGCGCUGGGAGUGUUCAGGGAACCCCAGAUCCCACCUAGGUCUUUUGAGAAGAGAGAGCAGGGGCAGGAGUCAGGCCUGGAAUGGAUCUAGACUUCUGUUCUGAGGGUGCUGGGAGCAUUGGAGAUUUAGGGCAGGGGAGGGAGGUGAUCUGACUCAGGUGUUGGGAGACUCCCUCUGGCUACGGACUGUGGCGGAAAAAGGCACCUGAGAGGCUACUGGUGAUGGGUGGCUGCACCAGGGUGGUGGCAAUGGAGAUGGCAGAGGUGCUGGGACUCUGUAUCUGUUAUUUCAGUAGGACCAGCCCAAUUGCCGGAUGUGAGGCAGUGAGAGACACUGACCUAUCAAGGAGUAGCCUAGGUGUUUGGACUCAGUGGUUUGAUGGAUGGAAGAUCUACCAACAGUUGUGGAAGUUGGUGGCUAGAGCAGGCUCCAGGGACAAGAUCUGGAGGGUGGUUUUGGAGGUUUUAAGUGGGAUAUAUCCAGGAAUGGAGGCACCUUGUAGGCACCUGAAUGUGCAGCUCUGGAAUUCUGCAGGGUCAGGGCUGGAAAGAUCCAAAGGGUGGGGCUAGAGAGUGGGCCUAGGAACAAUGUGGGAUGAAGGACGGUGAUGAACGCCCAGACAAGUUGUGGGAAGGGAGGCUGGGGGCCAAGGAGGACCGGGUGCUCGGACUGUGCAGUUGGAAGGUGGUGGCAGGUGUCACUAAGGCACUGUGACGUCUGGGCCUAUGUUAGCAGGGAAUGAAGAGGGGCAGUGUCAGGGAGCCAAGGCUCCUGAUCGGCAGGUGGACCUGGGGUGCAGCCUGUGGCAUGGCAGUGAUGGAUGUAGGGGGUAAAUGGGCUUGGGGUUGGGCUGAUUCACCUGUUUGCAGGCUGACCAGGCUUUUAUAUCUGCCCUCUCUGGGGCCUGAGGGUUUUCAUUCAGGGUUGCAGAGGCAUUCAGUGGUAGAUGGAGGUCACCUGGGCGACAGGCAGUGUCCCAGGCCCAGUGGGCUGGACUCUGAGUAUGCCUCAGAAUGGGAGAGGAGGAUCACGGCAAGUGAGAGCACAGCCUGUGCGAAGGCAGAGGUGAAGGAAGUCCAGCAUCUCAGAGAUCCAAUUGCAGUUCUGAGUGGCUGAAUAUUGAAGCUAGAACAGGGCCAGGUUACCUCCAAAAUCCAGAAAGUCCUACCAAAUGUUUUUUGGUGGUUGAUGGUGUGAGGUGCAAUGGCAGUGGGCCAUUGGAAGUGCAGGCAGGCUGGAGCAGGAUAGGAUUGCGGUUGCUGUGCCAUGCACUCUCAGGACACCACAUGGAGAGUGGCAUGUGGGGAAGCCAGGGAGUUGUGAAUGGAGUGGACUGGUGAGGUUGUGCUGGAAUGGUGUGGGUGCAGAAGUAUGAGGAUGCUGAGUAUGUUAUGUGCCUGAUAGGUGGGAGGGCCAACUGAAGGGCCUUGGGAGCAGGCAUCUGGCCCUAAGGAAGAAUGGUGAGUGAGGGUUUAGUUGCAUCUGAGAGGUGUGAUGUGAGGGACACAGAGAGAAUGGGCUGGGAGGAGAAAGGGUGAGGCCUGUGUGCCUGGACCAGAACAUAGAUGGCACCCAUCCUGUUGUUGCUGUGGGAUGGAUACAGAAUCUAAUAGUAACAUGAUGAGAAAGGCAUCAAUGGCAUUGUGAUCUUGGUAUUCUCUCUGAGGUAGAGUUCUGGAGGGAAAAGGAAGCAUCAGGAUGUGGUGGUGGUGGUGGGGUGUUGAGCCUGUCAGUGAGAGAGAGGAUAGUACCCUUCCGUGUCAAAGGCUUGGAUGUGUCCCUUUGGUUGGUUUUUCUGCCCAAUCAUCAAUCCCUAGGAUCAGCUGAACCCAUCACUGCAGGAUCAGGUGACAUUUGAGGAUGUGGCCGUGUAUUUCUCCAAGGAGGAGCGGAGGCUCCUUAACGUAACGCAGAGGCAUCUAUACCAUGAUGUGAUAUAGGAGAACUUUGAGCUCAUCGGCUCUCUGGGUUGUCUGUGUCAAGUGGAAGAUGAGGAGGACCCUCUUGAGCAGGUGAAGAGCUGUAGGGCCCACUCAUCAGAACACCCCUUCAUGUGUGGGGAGUGCGGCAUGGACUUCCAGGCCAGCUUUGGCCUCAGACAGCAACAAGCCGCUCACAGUAUGGGGAAGCUACCAAGCAGCACCAGGGAGACCUUCCCUCACAGCUCCAGUCUCAGGCAGCACCCAGGAGUCCACACUGGACAGAAACCCUUCAAGUGCAGCAACUGUGGGAAAUCUUUCCUGGAGAGUUCUGCCCUCCUCAACCACCUAAGAACUUAUACUGAACUGAGUUCCUACAGAUGCUCAACAGGUGGAAAUGCCUUCAAGGAGAAAUCAAUUCUUAUUACUCAGAUUAAAAUUCACACUGGAGGAACGUCCUAUAUGUGUAAAGAGUAUGGGAAGGCCCUCAGCCACCCAUCUAAAUUGAGCACACAUCAUAAAGUUCAUACUGAAAUAAAAUGUUACAAGUGCAGUGAAUGUGGGAAAACAUUCAACCACAAAUCCACACUUGUUCAGCACCAGAGAAUUCAUACAGGGGAAAGGCCUUAUAAGUGCAGUGAAUGUGGGAAAGACUUCAGCCUCGCAUCUACCCUUAUUCGGCACCAGAAAGUUCACACUGGGGAAAUGCCCUAUAAAUGCACUGAAUGUGGGGAAUUCUUUAGCAAAACUCCAACCUCAUUUGGCACCAGAGAGCUCACAUUGGAGCAAGACCUUAUGAAUGCAUUGAAUGUGGGAAAGCCUACAGCAGAAUCUGUUGUCUCAGUCAGCACCAGAAGGUUCACGUGAGAGAAAGGCCAUACGAGGGCUGCUGGUGUGGGGAAGUCUGCAUUGAAAUAGCCACGGGUGUUUGGUACCUCCAAGUUCUCAACACAUAAAGGCCCAUGAGUGCAGUA